GACGAACGCUGGCGGCGUGCUUAACACAUGCAAGUCGAGCGGUAAGGCCCUUUCGGGGGUACACGAGCGGCGAACGGGUGAGUAACACGUGGGUGACCUGCCCUCAGCUCUGGGAUAAGCCUGGGAAACCGGGUCUAAUACCGGAUAUGACUCCAUGACGCAUGUUGUGGGUGGAAAGCCUUGUGCGGCUGAGGAUGGGCCCGCGGCCUAUCAGCUUGUUGGUGGGUGAUGGCCUACCAAGGCGACGACGGGUAGCCGGCCUGAGAGGGCGACCGGCCACACUGGGACUGAGACACGGCCCAG
rnacentral:rRNA from 1 species